CUGAAAUAUUGUUUUUGCUUUGUGUAGGCAGAGUUCCUGUCUCAAGAAGAGGUUUGGCAGUAACAAAGUUUAGCUAUUCUGCUGGCCAUCACUCCGGAAAGUGUUCCCACGAAGUGGCUGACUUAAAAAGUAAGCUUGACUAAGUAUCAUAUCACAUGAGCAGCACUGGAAAGAGGCAGAGCUGAGGGAAAGAGGGAAGCUUCUGUGUAGACGUCGACUUUACUCUUUGACCACCAUACCUUGCCUUUCAGUUUGUGGGUAGCUUAGGAAACCGAAGUCAGACAACAUAAUUGGCUUUUGGGGGAUAAGAAUUGUGUCUUUCGGAUGUUUCUCAUAGUGCUUUACAGGAUAUACCCUCAAAAGAAGCUGAAAAAAUUUUAAAAAGAAAGUCUGACACAUUUCAAUGCUGUGUUCAAGCCUUCUGUUUUCCAAAAGAGGCCAUCAGGUAUCACAGCAAAUCACUUUUGUGGAUUAUAAAAGGAAGGUGACUUGCAGCUCUAAAAUCUUAAAUUCUCUGCUCCAUGUUCUGUGUUUUAUAAAUAAGCAUAAUUGGUAUUCAGAAAAGAAAUCUGCAAUCUCAGCCUACUUCAGGAUGUUGAUCUCACUCCGGACAAGUAAACACCAAUACCACCAACCUGAGUAGGCCUUCCAUGAAAUACUGGGGACACUAAGAAGCCACACCCCCUGAAACAUUCUAUGGUCAUUCAGCAUUUGAAGCAAAUUGGAAAGGUGAAAAACCUGAUAAGUGGGUGCCUCAUGAGCUCACCGAAAAUUUUUUUAAAAAUUGUCGUUUUGAAGUGUCAUCUUCUCUUAUUCUAUGCAACAACAAUGAACCAUUUCUUGAUUGGAUUGUGAUGUGCGAGGAAAAGUGGAUUUUAUAUGACAACUGGCGAUGACCAGCUCAGUGGUUGGACCGAGAAGAAGCUCCAAAACACUUCCCAAAGCCAAACUUGCACCAAAAAAGGUCCUGGUCACUGCUUGGUGGGCUGCUGCUGGUCUGAUCCACUGCAGCUUUCUGAAUCCCUGGGAAACCAUUACACCUGAGAAGUAUGCUCAGCAAACCAAUGAGAUGCACCAAAAACUGCAAUGCCUGCAGCUGGCUUUGGUCAACAGGAAGGGCCCAAUUCUUCUCCACCACAAUGUCCGACUGCACAUCACAACCCACGCUUCAGAAGUUGAACAAAUUGGGCUACGAAGUUUUGCCUCAUCUCCCAUGUUCACCUGACCUCUCGCUGAGAAGUAGCUUUGGAGCUUCUUCUCGGUCCAAACACUGAGCUGGUCAUCGCCGGUUGUCAUAUAAAAUCCACUUUUCCUCGCACAUCACAAUCCAAUCAAGAAAUGGUUCAUUGUUGUUGCAUAGAAUAAGAGAAGAUGACACUUCAAAACUACCACUUCUUCAAGCAUCUCAACAACUUUUUGCAGGGAAAAUGCUUCCACAACCAGCAGGAUGCAGAAAAUGCUCUCCAAAAGUUUGUCAAAUCCUGAAGCAUGGAUUUUUAGGCUACAGGAAUAAACGUAUUUCUCACUGGCAGAAAUUUAUUGAUUGUAAUGAUUCCUUUUUUGGUUAAAGACAUGUUUGAGCCUAGUUAUAACGACUUACAAUUCACGGUCCAAAACUGCAAGUACUUUUUGCACCAGCGAGAUGUGCAUAUGAGAAGCUUAUUUCACCAAGCCUCUUAUCUAGUCAUCUGUAUAAUUAUUUCAAGCACAGGAGGGACCCUACUUCUUACUGGGGAGGAUUAAGGAAGGCUUCCUGGAGGAUUGUCUCAGAGCUUGCUGCAGGUGCAUAUUGAAAAGCAAUUCAUUACAAUUUUCUAUAAGAGACUGUGGCUGAACAAUGAUACACAGGUAUGGUCAGAACUUUGUGUAACAAUUUCUGCAUCACAUGUGUAGAAAUCUUAAGGAAAGGAAUACUCUCUCUCAGCAAGUUGAGCCCUGUAGCCAGAUACUUUGAGUAGUGUUUCCUGAAUCUUUAAAACCCACUGACUUCAAAUGGCAUGACUUCCAGAGUAUAGAGGUGGGUAUAAAGAGCAACUCAGCCCCCCACACCCUUAAAAUCACAUCUUGUCAAAAACUUGAAGACUUUCAGGACUUGUGGAUUCAUUCCUCUUUCCAUCGCCACUGCAAAAGCUCAUAGGAAAUUUUUCUCUGUACAUAAAGAAGGAAAUCAUGCUCUCACAGCUGCAUCCUGAGUAAUCACUUUUGAGAUAAAACUAUUUUUCUAGCCAUAAAAGCUAUAUUUGAAUUUCACCAGCUGCUUUCUUAAUGAUUACUAGACUAUUUUGAUAAUGGCACCAGCUUCAGGAAAGGUGGUGAUGCUACCUAACCUUGCUUUGAUAAGAAAGAUUUUUGCAUCAGGGGAGAUUACACUUAUUUAAUGUAAUCCAGAUGUCUCCUUUCUCAGUGUUCCCCAAUUCUGCCAGCCUCAUUGAUCAUUCCAACUAUUAGUAUUCAAAUAAAAAUGGCUUCCAUAUGUAAAAGGAAACUCAGGAU
rnacentral:lncRNA from 1 species